rnacentral:rRNA from 1 species
UACGAGUGCUCCAAGCGUUAUCCGGAAUUACUGGGCGUAAAGGGUGUGUAGGCGGUUUUGUUAGUCAGUUGUUAAAACCCCAGGCUUAACCUGGGAGGUGCAAUUGAAACGGCAAAUCUAGAGGAUGCGAAAGGUGAACAGAACUCAUAGUGUAGGGGUGAAAUCCGUUGAUAUUAUGGGGAAUACCAAAUGCGAAGGCAGUUCACUGGCGCACUCCUGACGCUGAAACACGAAAGCGUAGGUAGCGAAAUGGG